AUGUCUACUCUCUUGCCCAAGACCCACGGUGAAGCGCCUUGGAAGGGGGUGUGGAUCUCACCAAACCCUCACACGAAGCAGGAGCAACACGAUGCACGGCGCCGAGGCGGGACACAUGCCGCACAUCAAGGCAUGAUAGUGAGCUCAGAGGACGCCAGGGGUUGCGACAUUCACGCGCACAAUGACCAUUCUCCAAACAACGGGAGCACCGCAACGGAUCUCUGCAAACAGCCGCACGAUGCCCAUAAGCAAGGCAUCUACAACAUUUACCGUGGAGCCAAGCAGGGAUGGGACGAGGACGACGAGGAACCAUUAUCGAGGAGGAAGAUUUCUGUGCGUGAGAAGGUCGAUGACAUUCUCUUUGAGUUAGAGCUUCAUAGCUUGCUUAAACGUUUGGAGGCGGCUAGCCCUGGAUCUGGCAAGGCGAUUGUGGAGGAGGCUCUUAGGAGCAAAGGAAAGAAGAGUGACGCCACAGAAAAGGCGUCGGCGGCUGCUUAA
rnacentral:rRNA from 1 species